rnacentral:rRNA from 1 species
UACGAAGGGGGCUAGCGUUGUUCGGAAUCACUGGGCGUAAAGCGCACGUAGGCGGAUCUUUAAGUCAGGGGUGAAAUCCCGAGGCUCAACCUCGGAACUGCCUUUGAUACUGGGGAUCUCGAGUCCGGGAGAGGUGAGUGGAACUGGCGAGUGUAGAGGUGAAAUUCGUAGAUAUUCGCAAGAACACCAGUGGCGAAGGCGGCUCACUGGCCCGGAACUGACGCUGAGGUGCGAAAGCGUGGGAG